rnacentral:SRP_RNA from 1 species
UGAGCAACUUGAAGUUAUUAAACCCCGUCAGAUCCGGAAGGAAGCAGCGGUAGAUAAUCUGAGAGUGUGACGCAGGGUAGCCUGAUUGG